ACAACACCCAAAAUUACCCUAUACGUUCCCGAUAUAUCUCCCUCCCCCUCUUCUUACUCCCGUGAUUUCCAAUUCUGCCAAAGUGUUCGUCGCUGCCGCUGUGUCGUCGAUCGCUGUCAGAUUCAUCCCGUCGCUGACGACCAGCCUUCAACCUCCGCCUCCUUCCAGUUACACAGCCAGGAGAACGAUCGUAUCCUCCCAGGUAACUUUUGAAAAUGACAAAUAAAAGAAUGCGAAAGUUAAUCCAAAAUAGCCAAAGACGAUCUAGGAGAGAAGAAUCAAGUAACAGAAGAGUUGAUGAUGAAAAUGAAUCACAAUACACAACAUCCCAUUCACCAUUGAAGAUACAAAAUGAGCAGGUUAAUGAACAAGGUGAAAAAUAUUUUUGGAUAUGAACAGUAAAUUAUUUUUGCAACACUAAGUGCAAAUUACUUUUUUUUUUUUCAGUUGAAAAUGAGGUCAUGCCUUCAUCCCAAAGUCAGCAAAGAAAACGUGGCAAGACUAUCAUGAGAGAUAUUCAUGCAUUACAUCCCGAUCAUGUGCUCGUAGUUGAAUUCAAUGAAAGGGGGCAACCUUUGGUGAUCUACAACCGACGCUUGCAAAUUUUAUUGGGACUAUUGCACAGAAUGGACUUAUGUUGCCUCUACACUUUUUUGAUUGGAGAAAAAUGCCGACAAAUUGAUUGAAUGAUGCAUGGAAACUUGUUACUGUACGUUUCUAUAUCCCCAAUCACCAUAGAAGAGUUAUAAUGCAAAUGAUGGGGGACGCAUGGAGACGGUGGAGGACUAAAGUGAAAGCUACAUCUUAUGAUUCAAAUAUUCCACUAGAAGAGCUUGUUGCAAUACAACCCAUUCCUCAUGGAUUAACACCUCAAACUUGGGAAGUUUUAUGUAACUAUUGGAAGUCUACUGAGAAAACUUCAAAAAUCAAUAGAGAAAAUACAAAAAAAAAAAGGGACUCAUGCACAGGGACACACUAAUAUUCCGUCAUUGGAGUAUAAAUUUUCUCAAGAGAAUGGUAGAAAAUCAAGUCGUAUUGAAAUACAACAAUUGAGUCGGAGAAGUAGAAAGAAAGGAGGUGCCGCUAUUGACGAUGAGGUAAUACGAACUGAGAAUUUACUUAAAGAGGCUGUAGAUCGUCUCCUCAAAGAUAAACCUGAAGGAACACAACCACUGGAAGUCCAUGAGGAGGCAUUUCGUGAGGUUUUUGGACCUGAGCAUUCUGGUGGGGUACGAUGUUUAGGAGCUGGUGCGCUGCCUAGCCAAGUGCUCCCAGAGCAAUGUAAACGCAGCUCAAUAUAUUGGCAAGAUUAUCACUCAAAUUCAAAUUUGACAGACAAAUUUAAGGAAAUGAGAGAGAAAAUUAAAGAUAUGGAGUUGCGAGAUGCACAACGACAAACGGAAAUAGAGCAGAUGAAAAAACAAAUGCAAGAAAAUGAUCAGUUUCAAAAUUUUGCACGAGUAAUGUUAAGUAUGAUGUCGGGAAAUGUUGGGGGCUCUCGUGGACCCGAAUUAUUACCGACACAAAUGAUAGCUAUGUUUGCAAAUAUUAUGCAACAACAAGUUCCAUCCACUAUGGAAGAAGAUAGGUGUAGAUCCUCCUUAUCAUCAGAAUCAGAUAAUAACUAGAGAGGUUGGUUUUUUUAAUUACAAAUGUUCUUAUUAGAGUAUUUUUGACUUUUUUUUUUUUCAAAUCUAUGUUUAAAAUAAAUUAAUUCAUAAUUCUAGGCAUAUGAGUUUUUUUAUACUAUUCUUGCAUGCUUGUUCCUCUGAAUCUUACAUUUCAAUAAUGCCACCUUGAGAGAGGUCCCCCAUGAGCGGCAUGAUCAGUUAGCCUUUUAUCUUCAGGGCCAUUUCCCCCUUCACAAAAUUAUUGUUCUAUCUGCACCACUUAAAGGUUGUUGCUAGCUUGAUGCAUGUGUUGUAACUUAUCAGUGUGACCCAGCACCAACCUCGCACAUUCUUAUCUUGCAUUAACAUCACACACACACACACACACACACACACACACACAUAUAUAUAUAUAUAUAUAUAUAUAUAUAUAUAUAUAUAUAUAUAUAUAUAUAUAUAUAUAUAUAUAAAUAUAGCUACAGUCACUUUCAUGCUCCAUUAGGAGGCUGGGGAGCUCCCAUGUGGCACAACCCAUACGAUAGAGCAUUUAUGGAAGGAUGGAUGGACGAAUCAUUAAUUAAUCAACCUCUUAGCUUCCUUCUAGCUCCCAAUUCAUGUUGUCAAUAUCAGGGCACAAGAAGCUGUUGUAUCAACCCUACUGGUGCGUGAACGGUUCAUACUUCCAAGGGUACCAAGACCCCACUCUGACUCUCUCAUAUGUUCAUAUACACUACUAACCUAAUCCUAGAGCUAGCCUUCCCAAGAUUUAGGUAGUUUUAUGUAUUACUCCUAAUUCACUUCCAAGUGAAUCCUUCAUAAGUAAUUCAAGUUCUAUAUUGCCGAAUGAGUUUCCACAUGUUUGAGCUGUAAUUGUUUAUUGGAUUCUAACCAAUGACCUUUUUUUUCUAUCAGCUAUCUAUAUUGUUACGAUUAUUACUUUUUUUUGUAUUUGCAUGUUGUUUAGUGUCGAUAAUUCGAAUGGUAUUUUAUUAAUGCAUUUUAUUAAGACUCUGCCACUUUCUAAGGUACAAGCUUUGGUUAAAUAUUUUUUUCAUUAUAUAUUAAAAUAUGUUGAUAGAAUAUAAUUUGGUGGUUCUAUUGAAAGUUGCUAUUGAAGGUUGGAGCAAAUGUCUUUGUUGCUUGAAGCAAAUGCCUUUUGUCGUUUGGAGCAUGUCUUUUGUCGUUUGGAGCACAUGUCUUUUGAUGUUUUUUUGGUGGAGAAAAUUUGUUAUUGAAAGUUGUAUAUAUUUUGGAGAUUGAAGAAAAUAUUAUAUUUGUGUUAUAGUGUGGAGUUAAAUGUUAUAUGUUAUGAAUGUUUUGAAAUGAAAUACAAAUUGUAUGUGCUGAUUUGGUAA